UAGGGAAUCUUCGGCAAUGGGGGGAACCCUGACCGAGCAACGCCGCGUGAGUGAAGAAGGUUUUCGGAUCGUAAAGCUCUGUUGUUAAGGAAGAACGAGUGUGAGAAUGGAAAGUUCAUGCUGUGACGGUACUUAACCAGAAAGGGACGGCUAACUACGUGCCAGCAGCCGCGGUAAUACGUAGGUCCCGAGCGUUGUCCGGAUUUAUUGGGCGUAAAGCGAGCGCAGGCGGUUAGAAAAGUCUGAAGUGAAAGGCAGUGGCUCAACCAUUGUAGGCUUUGGAAACUGGUUGACUUGAGUGCAGAAGGGGAGACUGGAAUUCUCGGUGUAACGGUGGAAUGUGUAGAUAUCGGGAAGAACACCAAUGGCGAAGGCAGGUCUCUGGGCUGUUACUGACGCUGAGAAGCGAAAGCGUGGGGAGCGAACAGG
rnacentral:rRNA from 1 species